GACGAACGCUGGCGGCGUGCUUAACACAUGCAAGUCGAACGGAAAGGCCCUGCUUUUGUGGGGUGCUCGAGUGGCGAACGGGUGAGUAACACGUGAGUAACCUGCCCUUGACUUUGGGAUAACUUCAGGAAACUGGGGCUAAUACCGGAUAGGAUCUCCUGCUGCAUGGUGUUGGGUGGAAAGUUUCGGCGGUGGGGGAUGGACUCGCGGCUUAUCAGCUUGUUGGUGGGGUAGUGGCUUACCAAGGCUUUGACGGGUAGCCGGCCUGAGAGGGUGACCGGCCACAUUGGGACUGAGAUACGGCCCAGACUCCUACGGGAGGCAGCAGUGGGGAGUAUUGCACAAUGGGCGGAAGCCUGAUGCAGCAACGCCGCGUGCGGGAUGACGGCCUUCGGGUUGUAAACCGCUUUCGCCUGUGACGAAGCGUGAGUGACGGUAAUGGGUAAAGAAGCACCGGCUAACUACGUG
rnacentral:rRNA from 1 species